UGGGACCACGUUACUGGCGUCACCGCUCUGGUUGAGUGCACUCGGCCCUGGUGCUUCGUCGCCCGCUGUGAAAGCUGCAACAGUCACGUCCACAGAUGCAAUGGUUCAUCUGAUUUAGUUCCAGGCUCAAAACCCUAUCAGACUGUGGAGAAGGAGUUGGAGAUCCUUCGGGAGCUAGAGCUGGAGAAGCCAAUGGGGCACUGCUCUGAUCUGGAGCAUCCAUGGUGUCUACGUAUGCGAAGACCGACAGUCCUAAACCUACUCCCGUGAAGUUCGAUUCCUGCAACGAGGACUCUUCCGCGGCAGACCCUCUCAGCACCGAGACGAAGAGGAUAAUCAGACAUAUUGCCACACUCAUUGGCACGCCCAGAGCACGAGGAGUUGUCGAGACCAUGCCGAUCAACUCACUCGAAAUGUACUGAAAACUUGAUGAAACUUUGAGGAAAAGACCCAGCGGAUGCAGAUCAGAUACUCAGUGUUCACCAAAAUUGCUAAGUUUCAAUCGCUGUAAUUUUUUUGCGCUAUGUGGAUUCCAGCUACGACAUGCAUCACAAUCCUGCUCUGCAAGCAGAGUGGGCUCCGAAGAAACCAGGGAGACUUAAAAAAUGAAGCUAACCUGGGGCUGCAACCCCUGAAAGUGGUUUGCCGAAUCAUCUGGAAGGGAAUAUAGAGGGGACUCCUGGUUGUCUUAAAACAGUAUGACCAUGAAUCGUUCUCAUAUUCUUCCAUGUUAACGAUCGCCAAGUUGCUGUGGUCUUCCGCAGAGGCAGGAUCCCAGCCCGGUAAUAGAUGGGUGCAAGCCGCGCGUGAUGUUCGAAUUCAGGGCACAACUUCAGAGAACUCUGGUCUUCAUUUAUACUGACCAAAAACCACACCGAGAUCGACAAUGGUAGCAUUUUACAACGGAGUGUGCGUGUGUGUGUGUAUGAGUGUAAAUGUCACCUCACUGGAACCAAACCCCACACGGAGAUCGUCGAUGUGGGCAUUCGACAAGAGAGUGUGAAAAUUAUCAGCUUACUGGAAUCAAAACUAUGCAGAGAUCGUCGAUGUUUGGCAUUUUUCACAAGAGAAUGUGUGCCAACUAAGCAGAUUCGGUUAGUGACGCCGAAUUUGGCCUGAUUGUUCACCAGUUGUCAACUCCUGCAUUCUCGAGGAUCUGUGAAGGUUUGCGGCGAUGAAGGAGCUGGAAUGAGUACAUUCGAACUGGUAUUCUUUUGAGAUUUUUCAAUAGAAAUCUUAAUAAAUAUAAAUAUAAAUAUUUAUUUAUUGUAAA